rnacentral:tmRNA from 1 species
GGGGGUGAAAGGCUUCGACAGGGGUUCUUUCUACAAUCGACGCUGAGAGUGGAUGGUUGUUAACCACUAUAAUUUCUCGACCAAACUUGUAACUGGCAAUCAAAAUACCAAUUACGCUUUCGCCUAACUUCGAUUAGGUAAGCCAUUCUACCGCGAUGCUCGCUAGCGGAUUUUAGAGUGUCAUUAGCGAACUUUAGCAGAACCGUUGUCCUUCCGAAUUCUGCCGAAAAAUUGUAAGGACUAGCGUGCGUUUAUUUUGUUCAUUUUUUAACCGCUCGCGAAAUACCAAAUGAAAUAUUUCAGUACACGUCAUUGCAGUAAACCUUUGGACGGCGGUUCAAGUCCGCCCAUCUCCACAU